rnacentral:lncRNA from 1 species
CAUCCUUGGACAAAUUUGACUUUUCCUUGCACAUAUUCCAGUCAUCAUCAUUUUCAUCCAUUUUAUCCAUUGUACUAUCUUCUCGAGGACUCUUCUUCUUGCUUGACGUUCCUAGACAUUGUUCUCCAUUUAAUUUAGCAGGUGCCCAGGAAGGAAAUGAACUACAAACAGGUAACUUCCCUGAAUUUUUUAUUAUAUUUUUCAGACUAUUUUUUGGUUUCGACUCAGGUGAAACAUCACUUCCCUGGUUUCUUGUGUUACUUGGUAUAUGAUGUCCAUCACUUAGAGGGAAAACCUCAUACUCAUCAGUAUCGUCUUCCCACUCACCAAUAUAGUAAUCAUUACCGUAUCUCUUGAAUGAUGCAGUAGCACGUCGUACAGAUAUCCUUUUAUUCUCGGCAUCUUUUUCAUGAAUUCCCUGCUUCUUUUUUCCAUCCUUGGACAAACUUGGCUUUUCCUUCCACUCAUCUUCACUUGUACUCUCUCCUUGAGGAAUCUUCUUCUUGUUUGACGUUCCUAGACAUUGUUCUCCAUUUAAUAUAGCAGGCACCCGCCUUUUAUUCUCUGAGCCUUGAAUUUCACGAGUCCCUGGCAUUUUCUUUCCAACCUUGGGUAAAGUUGGUUUUUUCUUGCACACACCCUGCUUUUCUUCACUUCCAAAUUCCACCUUGUUCAUUGUAUUAUCUCC